AGCAGCCGCGGUAAUUCCAGCUCCAAUAGCGUAUAUUAAAGUUGUUGCAGUUAAAAAGCUCGUAGUUGAAUUUCGGGAUUGACACAUCGGUCGUGCCUUAAGGGGUAUGAACUGGUGUAGUCAAUUUCUCACCUUCUGGAGAACCGCGAUGCCCUUAAUUGGGUGUCACGGGGAACCAGGACCUUUACUUUGAAAAAAUUAGAGUGUUUAAAGCAGGCAUUUUGCUUGAAUACAUUAGCAUGGAAUAAUAAAAUAGGACGGCAUGAUUCUAUUUUGUUGGUUUCUAGGAUCACCGUAAUGAUUAAUAGGGAUAGUUGGGGGCAUUAGUAUUCAAUUGUCAGAGGUGAAAUUCUUGGAUUUAUUGAAGACUAACUACUGCGAAAGCAUUUGCCAAGGAUGUUUUCAUUAAUCAAGAACGAAAGUUAGGGGAUCGAAGACGAUCAGAUACCGUCGUAGUCUUAACCAUAAACUAUGCCGACUAGGAAUCAGACGAUGUUAAUUUUUAAUGACUUCGUUUGGC
rnacentral:rRNA from 1 species